rnacentral:rRNA from 1 species
GACGAACGCUGGCGGCGUGCCUAAUACAUGCAAGUAGAACGCAGUUGCGAACGGGUGAGUAACGCGUAGGUAACUACCUAUUAGAGGGGGAUAACUAUAGGAAACGAUAGCUAAUACCGCAUACUAGUAGAUGGACCUGCGUUGUAUUAGCUAGUAGGUAGGGUAAUGGCCUACCUAGGCAAGGAUACAUACCCGACCGGCGAUGGGGGUCGGCCACCCUGGGACGGUGACACGCCCCAUACGCCUACGGGAUGCAGCCGUAGGGAAUCUUCGGCAAUGGGGGGAACCCGGACCGAGCAACGCCGCGUGAGUGAAGAAGGUUUUCGGAUCGUAAAGCUCUGUUGUUAAGGAGGCGGUACUUAACCAGAAAGGGACGGCUAACUACGUGCCAGCAGCCGCGGUAAUAC